AUGGGGAACGUGACGUCGUCGGUGGCGGCGCGGCUGGCCUUCUUCCCGCCGGAGCCGGCGACGUACGAGGUGGCGGCGGAGGAGGGCGGGCUGCGGAUGACGGGGGUGCUGCCCGACGCCAACGUCGACGUGCACGCGCUGCCCACCAGGGCCGGGACGCGCGUCGUCGCCGCCUUCUGGCGCUACCCCACCGCGCGCCUCACGCUGCUCUACUCCCACGGCAACGCCGCCGACCUCGGCCAGAUGCUCGGCCUCUUCAUGGAGCUCCGCUCCCACCUCCGCGUCAACAUCAUGUGCUAUGACUAUUCAGGAUAUGGGGCCUCUACAGGAAAACCAUCGGAGUAUAACACGUACUACGACAUAGAGGCUGUCUACGACUGUUUGAAAAAGGAGUAUGGGAUAGGGCAAGAGGAUCUGAUCCUGUAUGGGCAAUCAGUUGGAAGCGGACCGACGUUGCACUUGGCCUCACGUUUGGAGAAACUAAGAGGGGUCGUCCUUCACAGCGGUAUUCUGUCAGGCAUACGCGUUUUGUAUCCAGUGAAAGUGACACUUUGGUUUGAUAUCUUCAAGAACAUCGACAAAAUAAAGCAGGUCGAAUGUCCAGUGCUGGUUAUACAUGGCACGGCGGACGACAUCGUUGACUUCUCGCACGGCAAGCGCCUAUGGGAGCUAGCGAAGGAGAAGUACGAGCCGCUGUGGGUCAAAGGUGGUGGCCACUGCAACCUGGAGACGUACCCCGAGUACAUCCGGCACCUGCGGAAGUUCGUGAACGCGAUGGAGAAGCUGGCGAAGGAGCGAGCGACAAAGGCGCCGCAGACACUGAUGAUCUGA
rnacentral:rRNA from 1 species